rnacentral:rRNA from 1 species
UACGUAGUGGGCUAGCGUUGUCCGGAUUUAUUGGGCGUAAAGAGCGUGUAGGCGGCCAGAUAGGUCUGCUGUGAAAACUCGAGGCUCAACCUCGAGCUGUCGGCGGAAACCAUCCGGCUAGAGUCCGGAAGAGGAGAGUGGAAUUCCCGGUGUAGCGGUGAAAUGCGCAGAUAUCGGGAAGAACACCUGUGGCGAAGGCGGCUCUCUGGGACGGUACUGACGCUGAGACGCGAAAGCGUGGGGAGCAAACAGG